rnacentral:rRNA from 1 species
UACGUAGGGGGCGAGCGUUAUCCGGAUUUACUGGGUGUAAAGGGAGCGUAGACGGCCAUGCAAGCUCGGUGUGGAAGGUGCGGGCACAACCCGCAGACUGCACUGAGAACUGUAUGGCUGGAGUGCCGGAGGGGCAGGCGGAAUUCCUGGUGUAGCGGUGAAAUGCGUAGAUAUCAGGAGGAACACCGGUGGCGAAGGCGGCCUGCUGGACGGCGACUGACGUUGAGGCUCGAAAGCGUGGGGAGCGAACAGG